ensembl:lncRNA
AGAAAGAGCAGUGCUGGACAGAGAGCUUAGCCCUGCAAGACCUCUCCCGUGAUCACAUCUAGGGAGUGUAAGCUGGAUUUGUUGGGGAAAAGAGCAGGCACCCCUACCACAGCCUCCUGGACUGGAGAGGCCCAACCUGCCCAACCUCAGCUCAACCUGGAGUGCCGGCCACACUGGACACGUCCAGUCCUGUUGCAUAACUUCUUGCCCCUCCCCCAUAGUACGUGUCUGUAUGUCUGAGAGCCAGCUAAGCACCCAUCCUCCCCAGAAGGGAAGUCUGAGGAUUGAUAACCUCAACCUGAACCCGAACCUGCCCCAGCCUUUCUCCACUUCAGCCUGCCAGCAGCUUCCAGCUUUGGCUUCACUCAUUUUAUUCAUAGCCUCAUUCCAGCAACCCCUGGGCACCCCAGGAGAUGGCCCCUCACCACCCCUGUUAUGGGAUUCUGCUUCAAUCACACAAUUAAUCAACAGGAAACCCAAAUCCAGACCCAAUGGAGAAAAUAAAGGGAAAGGAGAUCAACUAUUCCAAAGGCCAGAUCAGCUCAAUGCAAUGAAGGAAGGAGGAGGAUGCAGGCUACACCAGAAUCCUGGGUUCUCAGCUGGACCACACACAACAGAUUGGAGGCAAGAAGAGUGGCAGAGGUGUUGUUAAUUUCCUGCCUCAUCAAGCAUGGCUCACGAAUACGGCAGCUUAAAUCCCCAGCAGCAGUAGGAGCUGGCAACAGGCAACCUGCUGUAAGGGAUAAAGAUGGCAAGGUCUGAGCACCAGGGACUUGGAUGGACAGAGGUCAAAGAGGUUUCCCGGGCAGCUGAAAGACUUCCAUCCACUUUGGAUUUGAUCAUCUCACCUUGUAUUUGUCCGUGAUCCCAAACACUAAUCCUGCAAUCUACUGUGUCAUAAGGUAAAUAAGCGCCAGGCACUGCCCUAGGCUCUACAGAUGCUCUGAUGGACAAGACAUGCUUCCUGUGUCUGAAGAACAUCCAGCUUCAUUGAUGUCAACACAAAAUAAAACACAGCAUGAUAAAUCCUGAUGAAGAAAAGGCAAUGGCACCCCACUCCAGUACUCUUGCCUGGAAAAUCCCAUGGAUGGAGGAGCCUGGUGGGCUGCAGUCCAUGGAGUCGCUAAGAGUCGGACACGAC